AACGAACGCUGGCGGCAUGCCUAACACAUGCCAGUCGAACGAGACCUUCGGGUCUAGUGGCGCACGGGUGCGUAACGCGUGGGAACCUGCCCUUAGGCUCGGAAUAACUCCCCGAAAGGGGUGCUAAUACCGGAUAAUGUCUUCGGACCAAAGAUUUAUCGCCUUUGGAUGGGCCCGCGUUGGAUUAGCUAGUUGGUAGGGUAAAAGCCUACCAAGGCGACGAUCCAUAGCUGGUCUGAGAGGAUGAUCAGCCACACUGGGACUGAGACACGGCCCAGACUCCUACGGGAGGCAGCAGUGGGGAAUAUUGGACAAUGGGCGAAAGCCUGAUCCAGCAAUGCCGCGUGAGUGAUGAAGGCCUUAGGGUUGUAAAGCUCUUUUACCCGGGAUGAUAAUGACAGUACCGGGAGAAUAAGCUCCGGCUAACUCCGUG
rnacentral:rRNA from 1 species